GAUAUUAUCCCCCCAUUUUUUAAUAUUGUUGUCUAUUUCUUCUUUUUUCUAAAUCCCCGACUUUUAUUAAUCAUAUCGAUAAUUUUUUGAUUUUUGUUACAUAUUUAUCAAAAAAUAUAAAUACAUUUUUAAAAAUUAUUUCAUUAGUCCAAAUUAUAGUCUGGGCUUUUGAGCCAUAUUUUGUGUUUAUUUUUUUCUAAGGCCAAUAUUAUAUGUGUAUAAAUUUAUUUCAUAUGUUUUGUUUUGUCAAAAUUAUAUUGUGCAUCGAUACAUUUAACAAAUUGCGUAGUGACGAGUACCGAUAAACGCGUAAAAACAUUUUUGGUUUCAAUUUUUUUGACUUUUUAAACAGUGAGUGAUGGCUAAACAGUUAUUGCGAUUGUUGAUAACUGGACGACUCAUUGAUUAAAACAUCUACAUAAAAAUAAAUCAGUACUUUAGGAAUACUUAAAAUAGUAUUGAAUAAGGAUGUAUAGAGAAUUCUUAGAAAAACAAUGUACAAAGAUACUUGAGAGUUGAGACUAUUAAUAGGAAGGAAAUUAGCUGAAAAAUAAUUGGAAGAAAGAUUAGAAAUAUAUUAUAGAAAUAAAUCGUAGGCCUUGCUCGCUUCUUCGUGGGCCUUACGGAUGGCUUCAAGCGAUGGCCUGGGAUGGACGGGUGUCAUCAACGUAUCAUUGUUGCAGAUUGGCCGUCUCGGUUGGAUGUUACCGUACGGAUU